rnacentral:rRNA from 1 species
UGCGCAGGCGGACCAUUAAGUCAGUGGUGAAAUCUCUCGGCUCAACCGAGAAACUGCCAUUGAAACUGAUAGCCUUGAGUAUGGUUGUGGUAGGCGGAAUAUAGCAUGUAGCGGUGAAAUGCUUAGAUAUGCUAUAGAACACCGAUCGCGAAGGCAGCUUACCAAACCAUUACUGACGCUCAUGCACGAAAGCGUGGGGAGCAAACAGGAUUAGAUACCCUGGUAGUCC